CUGAAAUUGUGGCGACUUUGCAUUUCGCGGAUGAGACUAAAGUGACCUUCAGGGUCGAAAAGGCAAAGUAAUUGCGUCGGUAGAGGUGCUCUUGUUUCCCUCGCCGCUUGUCCAAAUAAUAAUAACUCUGUCUCGUUUUCUAAUGCACGGUCGUGCAUUUUUAUUAUUUUGGCCAGGAGUGAAUCCGAACUCAGAAAUCACAUACUUUGUUGGUGUUAUGGUGGUGGUCUCAACAGUGGUGUCGGCGAGACCAAAGCCGCAAGUGUUCGCUACUAUUCCAUGGUACCCAUAGGAACGGUCAGUUUCUACCAUCCUGUAUCUUUGAAGACCGUGCUACGCAACCGCAUAGGUGAUGAUUUCAUGAAUAACUGCAUCAUUUGCUUCCUAUAGCACAUACUUCUAUAUUCAAUUCCAAUUACGGAUGUCAUGGAUCGGUUUUUGAAGAUGAAGAAUUGCAGAGGCCAGGGAAAAUAGAGGUAGCUAUUUUUGUAAACCGAAUUUUAUUCAUUAUGAUACAUUGGCAAUUAUUAUUUAUCUCAGUUUGUGCAAUAUAUAGUAUAGUCACUAUAAGUUACGAAUUAGAUCAAGAUACUUCUGUUUUGACACCGGCGACCAUUUUUCCUGGCUCCACCCCUGUUAAUUAGCCAUGGCCGCCGGAUCCGGUCGGUAGGCUUUCUUCUUCGCCUCAAUGUGUUUAGGUGAGGUAUCCAUUAUAGUAGACUUUAUUUAGUAGUGGAUAACUUGCUUAGAAAUCCUGUUGCGUAUGAGAUCUUGUGAUGUUUUCGUGAACAUAUGGUAUACUUGCAUAUCCCUUUUGCCAUGUGUAGCUAUAGUGCCAAGUGUGAAUUUCUGUACAUGAGGCGUAUUUCCAAUGACAUGUGUCUUUCGGCCAAGUAAAUCAAAAUGUCUUAUCAAUUAUGUGCCUACCUGAUACUGCAAGUUGUACUAAGUUCCUGUUGACAUCAUGAAUCAAUAAUUCAUUGAUAUUUUUAGUUUUGAUGAUUUUGUUACUAAUAUAUGCUCCAGUUUUGACCAUCAAAUAAUUGUUAUUUUGAUUACUUCCAGUUGCCCACAAAAAUGAGUAUUCCAAUCUAAGUUGUCGUGUGUUGUCAAGAUGGAGACAACAAAAAUGAGCUUGGAACUACUAUUGUUAUAGUCUGGAAUCGACAUCUCCAAGACAUGCCUUGAAAUCAAAUAUAUUUCUGUAGCUGGGAUAUUGCAGAUCAUGUUAUGUAUGACAUAGUACAUUCUAGUCUGCACAAGUCAUGUUCUUGACAUGCUGAUCCGUGAUGCCAUUAAGCCAUUUUUCUAUUGCUAUUGCAAUUCCAACGUCAUGUUAGGCCAAUUUUGAAAUCUACUUCUUAUUGCUAAAUCUCCCCAAGCUGACCAUCAUGUUUUGUUCUUGUUCAAGGAAAACGAGGACUACAUGAGAGAUAGGUGUAGUAGCUAGAACCUAUAGGCUAUAGCUGAUGCGCGCUGCCUGAUGCAUCACUUGGAAGGAAGUUGGAAGACCCUACUAGGGACAAGCUCGGUUGAGCUUCCUUUCUAGUGCCUCACUGAACUCUGGACAAGACGAUGCUCCACGGGAGUCCCUUGCGAACUGGCCUAUGUUGCUACUUUGGAGUCCAACGCAGCCUGGGAAGCUGUGCUGGCUUCAGCGUUUCCAUGCUGGCCAUAGGCGGCCUAUGUGCAAUUUAAGUCGCUUCUGAUGUUGAGUGGUGGUCGAUGUUUGUUUCAUCCUUUUUUUAGUGGGAGUGUGUUUGGUUAGACAAGUGAUUCUAUUUGAACUCCUGUUAUCAUUAUAGUGUGGCAUUCAUUUGAUAUGUGACUGAAUGUCCAAAGAACAGGAGAUG